rnacentral:sRNA from 1 species
UGCAUUAAGUACGUGCGCGACAAAUAGAU